GAGUUUGAUCCUGGCUCAGGACGAACGCUGGCGGCGUGCUUAACACAUGCAAGUCGAACGAAGCUUGAUUACGGAUUCUUCGGAUGAAGUAUGAUAUGACUGAGUGGCGGACGGGUGAGUAACGCGUGAGUAACCUGCCCUUCAGAGGGGGAUAGCGUUUGGAAACGAACGGUAAUACCGCAUAAUGUAUUUUGACCGCAUGAUCGAAAUACCAAAGAUUUAUCGCUGAAGGAUGGACUCGCGUCUGAUUAGGUAGUUGGUGAGGUAACGGCUCACCAAGGCGACGAUCCAUAGCCGGCCUGAGAGGGUGAACGGCCACAUUGGGACUGAGACACGGCCCAGACUCCUACGGGAGGCAGCAGUGGGGAAUAUUGCACAAUGGGGGAAACCCUGAUGCAGCGACGCCGCGUGGAGGAAGAAGGUCUUCGGAUUGUAAACUCCUGUUGUUGGGGAAGAUAAUGACGGUACCCAACAAGGAAGUGACGGCUAACUACGUGCCAGCCGCCGCGGUAAUUC
rnacentral:rRNA from 1 species